rnacentral:lncRNA from 1 species
GUGGCGUGGAAGAAGAAGAAGAAGGUGGUGAACAAAAACAUAAUGAAUAUGAAGUUUCUCUGAAGCUGGUUUCAUCCAUGAAAAUGACGUAGAAUCCACCAGAUUGGCAUAGCAUAUGAGUAUUUGAAAUUGACGUUGAUGAUGAUCUUUUUCACAAACAAUUUAUCUAGAAAAUGAAGUUGCCAGCUUUCUGGGGGAGGAUUUGGGCACAGGAAGAAAUGUGGAUGGCGUCUUCUGUGUUCCAUGUCGUGCUGCUUUGGAGACAUGGGGUAGGGGUAUAUGUGACCUUUAAAUUUGGUUAACUUGUGACCAAUAAUAGACAAUAUGUGACCAAUAAAAAAGAUAAUUUGUGACAAAAAAUAAUGUGUGACCUAAAAAUUUGUUAGUCUGUGUCCGG